UGCACGAUUUUUUCCUUCAGUGGGGGCAAUUAGCACUUGUUCCAACUGAUGGCACAUGCACUUUCUGAGCAGCACUUCAAAACUUACAAAGAAGUGGAAAAUUG